rnacentral:rRNA from 1 species
GAUGAACGCUGACAGAAUGCUUAACACAUGCAAGUCAACUUGAACUUCGGUUUGGGUGGCGGACGGGUGAGUAACGCGUAAAGAACUUGCCUCACAGAUAGGGACAACAUUUGGAAACGAGUGCUAAUACCUGAUAUUAUGAUUAUAUGGCAUCGUAUAAUUAUGAAAGCUAUAUGCGCUGUGAGAGAGCUUUGCGUCCCAUUAGCUAGUUGGAGAGGUAACGGCUCACCAAGGCGAUGAUGGGUAGCCGGCCUGAGAGGGUGAUCGGCCACAAGGGGACUGAGACACGGCCCUUACUCCUACGGGAGGCAGCAGUGGGGAAUAUUGGACAAUGGACCAAGAGUCUGAUCCAGCAAUUCUGUGUGCACGAUGAAGUUUUUCGGAAUGUAAAGUGCUUUCAGUUGGGAAGAAAAAAAUGACGGUACCAACAGAAGAAGUGACGGCUAAAUACGUG